AGUUUAUUCAAACCGUAGAAUAUUUCAUUCUCGUUAAAAUAAUGUUAAUACAAACAAAAAUGAUACGGUAGUAUCACCAGGCUAUAUUCAGAAUAAAGUGAUUCACUGAAAAUGGUUUAUUAUUAACAACAAAGAAUAAAAAUAAACCAGGCAUUCUAUUCAAGAAUACAGAAAAAUUAAAAAUUAAGCUAAGGAAAACAGAUGGAAUCAACAAAGACAAAAGCAGCAAAAUAAAAAUAGCCAUGAAUAGGCUUUUUGGAAAGACCAAUAAUUAACCAAAAUCCUGGCAACAGACAUAAAGGAGAAGGACCAUACUUACAUAGUGUUUGAAAUGAGAAAGAGGAUGUAGCCAGAAACAUAAAAGCAACUAAAAAAAAAAAAAAGAAAAAGAAUGAAAUUGAAACUAUCAGUGAAAUAGAUUUGAAAAUACCAACUAAAAAAUUCUUAAGAAGAAGUAGGAAUUGUAAGUAAUGUAAUAACCAUGCUGGAUUUUGUAAUUUAUCAAGGAUUCACCAUUGAUUAGGCUCCAGCCUGGAACACCUCGCAGAAAGAGAAAGGAAAAAGAGUCAUCGACCAUCUACAGUGAUACAAGGAAACGGUGUCGACUACCCCCUCAGACUGCAAAGCACUGUCCAAAUGUGAUAUGUCUACUGAGAAGAGAGCUUGCUGAGAGGUGUUCUCAACCUUCUGCAGGAUACAGAUUUCUCCUAAACCCUACUGUUUUUCCCUAGGACACUACAGAUUUAGUGAGAAUGUAAAGGAGAUAACAAAGGAGAAGCUAAAGAUUGUCAGCUCACACCUCCUUCCUGUAUAGAAUGUCCUUCGUCUGGAAUCUGGCAGAAGAAUCAUUCAAAGAAGGGUAAAAAUCUUAAGAAAAAAUGAACAAUAAACAUUGUAAAAUGAUUUGCUCCA
rnacentral:lncRNA from 1 species